rnacentral:pre_miRNA from 1 species
UGUGCAUGGCUCACCGCGGUCUCAGCGUCUGUGGUGCGCUGAAUUCGUAUCACAGACCGCUUGGAUCACAGUGCGCUGUUGUGAU